CGAGUAUAACUCCCUCGCUUGUGCUUCUGCUGGAAAUGGUUGCGGAGUGUAUUUUGAGGGAAUUCAGAAAGAAGGAGCUGGAGUGAAACUGGAUAUAGUUCGAAGGAGCAUCGGGGAGGGAGAGAGAGGCUGUGUGUCUGUGCGAGUGAGUGCGCACCUUUGGAUAGGCUGUAACAGAAGAACUCUGGCAGACACAGGAGCAAGGGACCGUGAGAGGACAGGAGAGACGACACAAAGGGGUUUGGACAGACUUAACGCCAGAAACAGCAUGCAGCAAAUACCGCCAAUGUGCAAAAGAGAUGAGCGGCGACUUUUAUUCACAUCUUUCAAACGGGUCAUACCUCGGAUAAGGCAGGACUAAGAGGGCUCUUCUUUCACCAGCAGGAAGAGAAGAGGCACCCCCAAAAGUGUCCCGUCAGCAUUUGCAAGGAAAUGCCAGUCUCACUAUUAGCUGCAGCAGCAGCCACAGAGUCAGCUGUCGCCUCUGAAACGCAACACCGCCUCCGAUUGUGCUGAGAGAGCUCAGGAGAAGAGGCCCGGCGCUGCUCUUGGAUCUGCUGUCCAGGUCUGAAGGUGACUCGUUGGCUGGGCCAGAGGCUGCAACACAGGACAUGGGUCCUGCCUCUUCCUACCACUCGUGUCUUGUGUUGCAGCCAGUGGAGCUGCCUGCUUUGACUGUCCGCUGCCCUGUCUGCCCUGCUGAUGAUGGACUGAGUCUCUGGAACAUAGGAAUCCUAUCAAGUCACAGAUUUUCUGACCAGAAUC